rnacentral:rRNA from 1 species
UACGUAGGGGGCAAGCGUUGUCCGGAUUUAUUGGGCGUAAAGAGCGUGUAGGCGGCCUGAAAGGUCAGCUGUGAAAACUCGAGGCUCAACCUCGAGACGUCGGUUGAAACCAUCUGGCUAGAGUCCGGAAGAGGAGUGUGGAAUUCCCGGUGUAGCGGUGAAAUGCGCAGAUAUCGGGAAGAACACCCGUGGCGAAGGCGGCACUCUGGGACGGGACUGACGCUGAGACGCGAAAGCGUGGGGAGCGAACAGG